CCCUACACACCAUAGGAGAUCCCAUCGAAUGGGUAAAUAAGAUUAUGAAAUUUUGAUUUCUCCUAUGAUCAGACAGCUAUAACAAUCUAUCCAAUCAGAUUACUAUACUACUUAGAUUUUAAAUUAAUUAUUUAAAUAUAAUCUAAAUAAUUAAAAUCAGAUUUCAUAAAGAUUAGCACAAACUAGGAUAACCUUUGCACUGUAAGGGAUAAACUUUACAGCAGGACAAUCUUAUAUCAGUUUGUACGAC
rnacentral:lncRNA from 1 species